rnacentral:misc_RNA from 1 species
AAGUCGUAACAAGGUUUCCGUAGGUGAACCUGCGGAAGGAUCAUUAACACAAUUUUACUGUGAUAAAUCCGUUGAAUUCUCGAACUCAAUGGUAUCCACCCCAUUAUUGACGAACUUUUCCAGAUGUUAAAACAUAGAGCUAGUCUUUAUGUUUUUAGCAUUCUAGACCUCUUUCUAUACCCACACAAAUUUAAACCCCUUUUACAACAUGUCUUAGACUGAAAUGAAAAUUUCUAUCAAAAAAUUGAUAAAAACAACUUUUAACAACGGAUAUCUUGGCUCUC